UCUCUGAUCGUAUAACGGUUAGUACACACGCCUGUCAAGCAAUCAUGCUACGACCGCGUGAGACCGGGGUUCGACUCCCCGUCAGAGAG